rnacentral:rRNA from 1 species
GCCAGUAGUCAUAUGCUUUUCUCAAAGAUUAAGCCAUGCAAGUCUGAGUAUAAUUGUUUUACGGUGAAACUGCGAAUGGCUCAUUAAAUCAGUUAUAGUUUAUUUGAUGCUAUAGGCCGCAAGGUCACUACAUGGAUAUCUGUAGUAACAUAGAGCUAAUACAUGCAAUAUAGUCUGACUUUUUGGAAGGACUAGCACUUAUUAGAUAUUAAACCAAUCCCAGCAAUGGGUUUUUUGGUGAUUCAUAGUAACUGAACAAAUCACAUAGUCUUGUACUGGUGAUGUUUCAUUCAAAUUUCUGCCCUAUCAACUAGAUGGUAGUAUAUAGGACUACCAUGGUUGUAACGGGUAACGGAGGAUUAGGGUUUGAUUCCGGAGAAGGAGCAUGAGAAACGGCUACUAUUUCUAAGGAAAGACAGCAGGCGCG